GACGAACGCUGGCGGCGUGCCUAAUACAUGCAAGUAGAACGCUGAAGGAGGAGCUUGCUUCUCUGGAUGAGUUGCGAACGGGUGAGUAACGCGUAGGUAACCUGCCUGGUAGCGGGGGAUAACUAUUGGAAACGAUAGCUAAUACCGCAUAAUAGUAGAUGUUGCAUGACAUUUGCUUAAAAGGUGCAAUUGCAUCACUACCAGAUGGACCUGCGUUGUAUUAGCUAGUUGGUGAGGUAACGGCUCACCAAGGCGACGAUACAUAGCCGACCUGAGAGGGUGAUCGGCCACACUGGGACUGAGACACGGCCCAGACUCCUACGGGAGGCAGCAGUAGGGAAUCUUCGGCAAUGGACGGAAGUCUGACCGAGCAACGCCGCGGGAGUGAAGAAGGUUUUCGGAUCGUAAAGCUCUGUUGUAAGAGAAGAACGAGUGUGAGAGUGGAAAGUUCACACUGUGACGGUAUCUUACCAGAAAGGGACGGCUAACUACGUG
rnacentral:rRNA from 1 species